UACGUAGGGGGCAAGCGUUGUCCGGAUUUAUUGGGCGUAAAGCGCACGCAGGCGGUCUCUUAAAGUUUCGAGUGACAGGUCAGGGCUUAACCCUGGCAGGCCUUGGAAAACUGGGGGGACUUGAGGGCUUCAGAGGGACGCGGAAUUCCAGGUGGAGCGGUGAAAUGCGUAGAGAUCUGGAAGAACACCGAAGGCGAAGGCAGCGUUCUGGGAAGCAACUGGACGCUCAUGUGGCGAAAGCCAGGGGAGCGAACGGG
rnacentral:rRNA from 1 species